rnacentral:rRNA from 1 species
GUCUACAGCCAUGCUACCCUAAACAAGCCCAAUCCUGCCUGAUCUCGGAAGCUAAGCAGGGUCGGGCCUGGUUAAUACUUGGAUGGGAGACCACCUUGGAAGACCAGGUGCUGUAGACG